AGCACACAAGUACUACCGCAAAAGAGGCGGUCCAAUACAAGAUCCGUCCAAGAAGAAGUUAUUCGUCAGGACUGGCUGGCCGUGUCACAAACAACCACCAGGAACCAACUUAUGCAGAUAUUAUGUGUGCAAAAUGCUCAUAGUCACCAGGUACCAGUAACCGCAUCCCGCAAAUCCCCCAUCCUGCAGAACGAUUCAACGACAAGACAAUCUAGAACGUGGGGGCUGACCUCUGCCGAUUCAUUCGUCAUGAUAUCUGCAAUGCAAGAGGUCUGUUCUAUGAUAAGGAGAGUGAACUUGCUUUGGACGACAAAUUUAAAUCUCUCAGAGAGUGGGAGAAAGAACAUAUGUAAUGACAUAUACACUAAUUAUACAUUUGAUUGUUCAACCGUCGCAUAUGUAACAUUACUUUCGUAUG